UACGAAGGGGGCAAGCGUUGUUCGGAAUUACUGGGCGUAAAGCGCACGUAGGCGGCUUUGUAAGUUAGAGGUGAAAGCCCGGAGCUCAACUCCGGAAUUGCCUUUAAGACUGCAUCGCUCGAAUCAUGGAGAGGUGAGUGGAAUUCCGAGUGUAGAGGUGAAAUUCGUAGAUAUUCGGAAGAACACCAGUGGCGAAGGCGACUCACUGGACAUGUAUUGACGCUGAGGUGCGAAAGCGUGGGGAGCAAACAGG
rnacentral:rRNA from 1 species